UCUACAUUCCAGGUUUGGAAUUCAGGUCUCCAGUCAUUGUUUCUGGUUUCGAUGUUGAUGGCUCCUACAUUCUUUCUUCGAUAGCUGGCCCCGUCUCUCGGGCUAUGUGGACCUAGGCUGGACUCAUUCCCUUGAGCAGGCAUUUGGCUCAUAUUCAAGUUCUCAAAACUGAGCCCAGUUUGCUGUAGGAGCUAUAUGAACAAGGUUUCUGACAUCUCUCAGAAUGACUUGUAAUCAG
rnacentral:lncRNA from 1 species